rnacentral:rRNA from 1 species
AAUAGAUACCCCGGUAGUCCACGCCGUAAACGAUGAGUGCUAAGUGUUAGAGGGUUUCCGCCCUUUAGUGCUGCAGCUAACGCAUUAAGCACUCCGCCUGGGGAGUACGGCCGCAAGGCUGAAACUCAAAGGAAUUGACGGGGGCCCGCACAAGCGGUGGAGCAUGUGGUUUAAUUCGAAGCAACGCGAAGAACCUUACCAGGUCUUGACAUCCUCUGACCUCCCUGGAGACAGGGCCGUUCCCCCUUCGGGGGACGAGAGUGACAGGUGGUGCAUGGUUGUCGUCAGCUCGUGUCGUGAGAUGUUGGGUUAAGUCCCGCAACGAGCGCAACCCUUGACCUUAGUUGCCACGCAUUGAGUUGGGCACUCUAAGGUGACUGCCGGUGACAAACCGGAGGAAGGUGGGGAUGACGUCAAAUCAUCAUGCCCCUUAUGACCUGGGCUACACACGUGCUACAAUGGAUGGUACAAAAGGGCUGCGAGACCGCGAGGUUAAGCCAAUCCCAGAAAAACCAAUUCCCAGUUCGGAUUGCAGGCUGCAAACCCCG